GAUGAACGCUGGCGGCGUGCUUAACACAUGCAAGUCGAACGGUGAAGCCAAGCUUGCUUGGUGGAUCAGUGGCGAACGGGUGAGUAACACGUGAGCAACCUGCCCUGGACUCUGGGAUAAGCGCUGGAAACGGCGUCUAAUACUGGAUAUGAGGCGUGACCGCAUGGUCAUGUUUGGAAAGAAUUUCGGUCUGGGAUGGGCUCGCGGCCUAUCAGCUUGUUGGUGAGGUAAUGGCUCACCAAGGCGUCGAUGGGUAGCCGGCCUGAGAGGGUGACCGGCCACACUGGGACUGAGACACGGCCCAGACUCGUACGGGAGGCAGCAGUGGGGAAUAUUGCACAAUGGGCGGAAGCCUGAUGCAGCAACGCCGCGUGAGGGAUGACGGCCUUCGGGUUGUAAACCUCUUUUAGCAGGGAAGAAGCGAAAGUGACGGUACCUGCAGAAAAAGCGCCGGCUAACUACGUGCCAGCCGCCGCAGUAAGAC
rnacentral:rRNA from 1 species